rnacentral:rRNA from 1 species
GAGCACGUAGGUGGGUUUGUAAGUCAGAUGUGAAAGCCUUCUGUUCAACGGAAGAAUUGCAUCUGAAACUGCGAGUCUUGAGUGUAGGAGGGGAGAAUGGAACUUCUGGUGGAGCGGUGAAAUGCGUAGAUAUCAGAAGGAACUCCGGCGGCGAAAGCGAUUCUCUGGCCUAUUACUGACACUUAGUGUGCGAAAGCUAGGGGAGCAAACGGGAUUAGAUACCCCGGUAGUCCUAGCCGUAAACGAUGGGCACUAAGUAGAGGGGUUUU